rnacentral:rRNA from 1 species
AUAGCUAAACUAAUAAAGCAUUUCACUUACACCGAAAAGUUGCCCGUGCAAAUCGGACUACUCUGACACUUAAAAGCUAGCUAUAAAUUAUAUUUAACCUAAAAAUCUAUAAAUAUUAAUAUACUGAUACAUAAAACUAAACCAUUUUCCACAUCUUAGUACAGGAGAUAAAAAAGGAACAUUAAGCUAUAAAUUUAGUACCGCAAGGGAAUGCUGAAAGAGAGAUGAAACAGUACAGUAAAGUGGGACAAAGCAGAGAUAUAAACUCGUACCUUUUGCAUCAUGUUUUAGUUAGAACUAAUUAAGCAAAAUGUUUUCUAGUUUAAUACCCCGAAACUUAGUGAGCUACUCCGGGACAGCCUGAUAAUAGGGCAAACACGUCUCUGUAGCAAAAGGGUGUGAAGAUCCCCGAGUAGAGGUGACAAGCCUACCGAACCUAGUUAUAGCUGGUUGUCUGAGACUUAAAUAGGAGUUUAGCCCUUAAUUUUCUAAUUUUAAUAAUGACUUAUCAUUUAAAACAAUAAAAGAAUAUUAAGGAGUUAUUCAUAAGGGGCUCAGCCCUUAUGAAAAAGGAUACAACCUUAUUAGGUGAUUAAUGACAUAAAUAAAGUUAAUGUCUUAGUGGGCUUAAAAGCAGCCACCUUUAAAAGCGUUAAAGC